UUCAAGAUCUGCAGAGUACUCGGCUCGCUGUAAGGCAACGGCUGUAGCUGCUUGUCCAGAAGGCAUUCAAAGUCUGCGAGGGGGAGUGAAAGCUGCUCGCAGUAGCGCUCGUGGAACCACGGCACCUGAAAUUCGGGACACUCGAGGCACACGGCGCGGUUCAGCUCCAUGAGACGCAGUCGGGUCCGCAUGUUCAGCGCGUCGGUUAGGGCUGCGGCGGUUACAAAAGUAAAACGCAUGAGAUGUGUUCAACAACUUUUUGGCCUCACAACAAAGAGUAAGUAUCAUGGCGCUAGACAAGUAA